rnacentral:rRNA from 1 species
GGAAUAUUGCGCAAUGGCCGAAAGGCUGACGCAGCGACGCCGUGUGUGGGAUGAAGGCUUUCGGGUUGUAAACCACUGUCAGGAGGGACGAAACAAAUGACGGUACCUCCAAAGGAAGCGCCGGCUAACUUCGUGCCAGCAGCCGCGGUAACACGGAGGGCGCGAGCGUUGUUCGGAAUCACUGGGCGUAAAGCGCGCGUAGGCGGUUAGAUAAGUCGCUUGUGAAAGCCCGGGGCUCAACUCCGGGAUGCCAGGCGAUACUGUUUGACUAGAGCACGGUAGAGGCAAGUGGAAUUCCCGGUGUAGCGGUGGAAUGCGUAGAUAUCGGGAAGAACACCAGUGGCGAAGGCGGCUUGCUGGGCCGUUGCUGACGCUGAGGUGCGAAAGCGUGGGGAGCAAAC